rnacentral:tRNA from 1 species
GGAAUAUGUUGAUCAAGUAAAAGCUGCUAACUUUUAACUUCAGCGGUUUAAUUCCGUUUAUAUUCCU